rnacentral:tRNA from 1 species
GGGUAUGUGGCUCAGUGGUAGAGCACUUGCCUAGCAUGCUUGAGGCCCUGGGUUCAAUUCUCAGUACCACUA